rnacentral:lncRNA from 1 species
GUCUGUCUGUUGUAGAACAGGAGCUGCAGAGGUAAAUGUCCUGUCUGUUCUGUUGUAGAACAGGGCUGCAGCAGAGGUAUGUCGUCCUGUCUGUUUUUGAGAACAGAGCUGCAGAGGGUAUGUCUGUCUGUCUGUUGUAGAACAGAAGCGCAAGAGGGUAUGUCUGUCUGUUUGGAACAGGAGCUGCAGAGGGUAGUCUGUCUGUCUGUUGUAGACAGGAGCGCAGAGGGUAUGUCUUCUGUCUGUUUAGAACAGGAGCUGCGAGGGUAGUCUAUUCUAUCGUGGUAGAACAGGAGCUGCAGAGGGUCUGUCUGUCUGUCGUAGAACAGGAGCGCAGAGGGUCUGUCUGGUUGUGAAAAAGGAGCUGCAAGAGGGUAUGUCUGACUGUUGUAGAACAGGAGCCAGAAGGAAGGUCUGUCUGUCUGUUGUGGAACAGGAGCUGCAGAGGGUAUGUCGUCUGUCUGUUGUAAACAGGAGCUGCAGAGGGUAUGUUGUCUGCUGUUGUAGAACAGAGCUGCAGAGGGUAAUGUCUGUUGUCUGUUGUAGAACAGAAGCUGCAGAGGGUAUGUCUGUCUGUGUGAACAGGAGCUGGCAGAGGGUAUGCUGUCUGUCUGUUGUAGAACAGAGCUGCAGAGGGUAUGUCCGUCUGUUGUAGAACAGGAGCUGCAGAGGGUAUGUAUGUCUGUCUGUUGUGGAACAGGAGCUGCAGAGGGUAGGGUAUGUCUGUCUGUUGUAGAACAGAAGCUGCAGAGGGUAUGUCUGUCUGUUGUGGAACAGGAGCUGCAGAGGGUAUGUCUGUCUGUUGUAGAACAGGAGCCAGAAGAAGGUCUGUCUGUCUGUUGUAGUAGAACAGGAGCUGCAGCGGGAUGUCUGUCUGUCUGUUGUAGAACAGGAGCUGCAGAGGGUAUGUCUGUCUGUUGUGGAACAGGAGCUGCAGAGGGUCUAUGUCUGCUCGUUGUGUAACAGGAGCUGCAGAGGGUAUGUCUGUCUGUUGUGGACAGGAGCUGCAGAGGGUAUGUCUGUCUGUUGUAGAACAGGAGAGAUGCCGAGGGUUGUCGUCUGUUGUGUAACAGGAGCUGCAGAGUGAUGUCUGUCUGUCUGUUGUAGAAACAGGAGCUGCAGGGGUAUGUCUGUCUGUUGUUGUAGAACAGGAGCUGCAGAGGGUAUGUCUGUCUGUCUGUUGUAGAACAGAGCUGCAGAGGGAUGUCUCUGUCUUGGUGGAACAGGGCAGCUCAGGGGUAUGUUCUGUCUGUUGUAGAACAGGAGCUGCAGAGGGUCUUGUCGUCUGUCUGUGUAGAACAGGAGCUGCCAGAGGGUCUGUCUGUCUGUUUGUUGUGGAACAGGUGCUGCAGAGGGUAGUCUGUCUGUUGUGGAACAGGACUGCAGCGGGUAUGUCUGUCUGUCUGUUGUGACAGCGAGCUGCAGAGGGUAUGUCUGUCUGUUGUAGAACAGGAGCUGCAGAGGGUAGUCUGUCGUUGUCUGUCUGUUGUGAGCUCUAUAUGACAAGGUGUCAGAGGUCAUG